rnacentral:rRNA from 1 species
UACAGAGGUCUCAAGCGUUGUUCGGAUUCAUUGGGCGUAAAGGGCGCGUAGGCGGAUCUGUGUGUCUGGCGUGAAAUCUCCACCACUUAACGGGGAGAGGUCGCUGGAAACUGCAGAUCUGGAGUUUGUUAGAGGACCAUGGAAUUCCAGGUGUAGCGGUGGAAUGCGUAGAUAUCUGGAAGAACACCGGUGGCGAAGGCGGCUCACUGGCCCGGUACUGACGCUGAGGUGCGAAAGCGUGGGGAGCAAACAGG